rnacentral:lncRNA from 1 species
CUCGGUUCACUGGAACCUCUGCCUCCCAGGUUCAAGGGAUUCUCAUGUCUCAGCCUCCCAGGUAGCUGGGAUUACAGGCACCCGCCACCAUGCCCAGCUAAUUUUUGUAUUUUUAGUAGAGACGGGGUUUCACCAUGUUGGCCAGGCUGGUCACAAACUCCUGACCUCAGGUGAUUCACCAGCCUCGGCCUCCCAAAAUGCUGGGAUUACAGGCGUGAGCCACCAUGCC